GGACCACCAGGGAGAGAGGGCUCCCCUGGUAGACCAGGUCUGCCGGGCCCUGCUGGACCUCCAGGUGAACCGACUGCCCUGCCUAUCGUUGGAGACAUGGGUGCUUUACUCAAGAACGCCUGCAGUGUGUGCCAGACGAGGAUUCCCGGGCUGCCUGGGCAGAAAGGAGAGAAGGGCCCCCCCGGAGCGCAAGGACCAGAAGGCUCGGUGGGAGAGAAGGGAGAUCCAGGCGUAAGAGGUCCGAUGGGGAACCCUGGGAAGGAGGGUCCUAAGGUAG